GUGAGGAAUUUUCCGCAAUGGGCGAAAGCCUGACGGAGCAAUGCCGCGUGAAGGAUGAAGGCCUAUGGGUUGUAAACUUCUUUUCUCAGAAAAGAAUUAUGACGGUAUCUGAGGAAUAAGCAUCGGCUAACUCUGUGCCAGCAGCCGCGGUAAGACAGAGGAUGCAAGCGUUAUCCGGAAUGAUUGGGCGUAAAGCGUCUGUAGGUUGUUUAAAAAGUAUUCUGUCAAAGAUUAGGGCUUAACCCUAGAUAGGCAGAAUAAACUUUUAAGCUAGAGUUUGGUAGAGGCAGAGAGAAUUCCCGGUGGAGCGGUGAAAUGCGUAGAUAUCGGGAGGAACACCAAAGGCGAAGGCACUCUGCUGGGCCAAUACUAACACUGAGAGACGAAAGCGAGGGGAGCAAAUGGGAUUAGAAACCCGGGUAGUCC
rnacentral:rRNA from 1 species